UGGGGUGUCUGCGGACACUGCAGAAGAGUU
rnacentral:piRNA from 1 species